AUGGUGGCAGCUGUGUUUAUGAUCGUCCUUGCCAUUGGAUCGCCCAGGAGGCGUCAAUCUCAGAGCAUCAUUAUCAGAUAUGGAGUCGAGGGAGUGUUUAUACUAUCCUCCCCACUUGUCUCCCACACAUUGGGACUGAUGGGAGGGCAAAUAGUCAGGAGUGAGCUGUACGGGGUGUGGGGAAUGUUUUUGGCCAUGCUAUUUGGCGGCACCAACUCAAUGUCAGUCCAGAAGCUCUACGAGAACAAUAAAUCAAUGAAGCUUUAUUGCGACUACCUCCUGUUCAUCUUCUACCUCGGCAUGGUUUUAGGCAUCUUUGUCAUCGAUAAUAAAAAUCUUCCGCAAAUUCGGUUCGUAGCCAUGGCCUUGAAUGUCCUGUUGGCUACUAAAAGUCUUGAACAGUGGCGUGUUGCAGCUCUAGCAAGCAAACCAUCAUCAGAAAAUGGCAUUAAGCGGUUGGUCCUCUACAUGAAGCAUGAGCACGAACUCAGCACGUCCUAUGACCCUCGCACCAUGCAAGGAUACAAGUAUGCUGUUCUCAUCCAUGAAGGUUGCGAUGAACUUGGAGAGGGUCCAAUAACACUGGAAAAAAUCUGGUCUGACAACAUUGGUGUCUUAUCAUCUUCCAACAAUCUUAACAUCCACCGCCUCAAGGAUCUAUGUCUCUCAUUCUCCUUGUUCCAUCUUGUGGUUCGGCGAUACUUUGGCUAUGCUUGUCCUGAAUCAAAGCUUGACAAGUCUCGUCAUCUUGUUCUUGAUGGGUUGUUGCGAACAGAAUGUGACUCUGAAAGAGCAUUCCAAGUGAUUGAAGCAGAGCUGGCUUUCCUCUACGACUUCUUCUUCACCAAGUAUGCUUACAUUAUGUAUGGUAGAGAGAUAAAGUGGUGUGCUCUUUCGCUUGCCACCACAUUUGUUAGUAUAGCGGUGGGCACAUGGUCUCUUUGUUCUUUGAACAUGCAUCAUUCUAAUCUGGAUGAUAAUUUGGUAGAAACGAGCACACAAGACUUCAUGGUUACCAAAAUAGUGUUUGCUGUACUUUCAACAUUUCAGCUGCUGCAGAUAUGGUCUUACUGUGCCUCUGACUGGGCGAAUGUAUCCUUGGUUUGUAAGUACGCAAGACAUCCAUCGUGGCAUGGGAAUGCUUGUAUUGAGAAGCUUCUAUUGCUUCUAGGACGACCUCACAAAUGGCUUCGCUACUGGCGCAACACCAUUGGUCAGUACUCAGUCCUUGAUUCCUUCAGUUCCAGCUACUGGGCUCGGUUGAAGCAUCACCUUCCAAGAGGAAAAGCAGGCAAACCUAAAGAGUUGACAAUGGAGGUGAAGAGAGCAAUUGCACACACUAUCAAACACUCCGUCUGUGACCGUCUGUCGCAUGGAGCCUCAGCAUUAAUGAAGCAUCACAUGAGUAAUGAGCUACACUGGGCAUGCGAGAUCAGUGAUGAAUUUACACUAAUUCACAGCAUACUAGUAUGGCAUGUCGCCACUAGCUACUACGAGAUCUCCGAAGCAGACACAUACACAAAUCAAAUUUAUAUGCAUUCAAAUCAAAAGAUUGCCAUCAGCUUGUCUAGAUAUUGCGCAUACUUGGUUGCCUUUGCCCCAACAUUGCUUCCCAGCCGCCCAAUGGAGACAACAUGUAUCUUGGAUGACUUCGAACAAGAAGCAAAGGAACAAUUUCAGAACCUCGUCUCACCAAAAGAGAAGUAUGAAAAGCUUAGAGAGCUUCAUAAUGGAGCCGGUGCCGGAGGAACAAUGGUGGCAGAACUGUUGACAAAGGGUGCCAUAAUUGGGAAGACAAUAGAGGGCAUGGGAAAUCGCAUGAUCCGAUGGGAUCUACUCGCAGAUUUCUGGGCGGAGAUGCUGGUGUAUAUCGCCCCAUCUGACAAUGUAGCUGGUCACAUUGAACUUCUCGCUGAAGGUGGCGAGUUCGUGACACAUGUCUGGGCGUUGCUCAUGCAUGCUGGCAUCCUGGAGCGGCCUGCUGCAGCUGCCACCGCAGUACCCUAG
rnacentral:rRNA from 1 species